UAGGGAAUCUUCCACAAUGGACGCAAGUCUGAUGGAGCAACGCCGCGUGAGUGAAGAAGGUCUUCGGAUCGUAAAGCUCUGUUGUUGGUGAAGAAGGAUAGAGGCAGUAACUGGUCUUUAUUUGACGGCAAUCAACCAGAAAGUCACGGCUAACUACGUGCCAGCAGCCGCGGUAAUACGUAGGUGGCAAGCGUUGUCCGGAUUUAUUGGGCGUAAAGCGAGCGCAGGCGGAAUGAUAAGUCUGAUGUGAAAGCCCACGGCUCAACCGUGGAACUGCAUCGGAAACUGUCAUUCUUGAGUGCAGAAGAGGAGAGUGGAACUCCAUGUGUAGCGGUGGAAUGCGUAGAUAUAUGGAAGAACACCAGUGGCGAAGGCGGCUCUCUGGUCUGCAACUGACGCUGAGGCUCGAAAGCAUGGGUAGCGAACAGGAUUAGAUACCCUGGUAGUCCAUGCCGUAAACGAUGAGCGCUAGGUGUUGGGGCACU
rnacentral:rRNA from 1 species